rnacentral:lncRNA from 1 species
GGAUGGGAAUGCAGAUUUGGAUGCCUCGUAUCGUAUGAUAAAGAAGAGAGUUUUUACAAAGCCCUAGAGCUAGAGCUUGUUGAGAAAGUAGCUUUGAAGAUGGGCUUCCUAUGGGAAAUAGGGAAGUUUAAAGCGAUAACAAAGGCCUUAGGGAAUAGGAUCUCUUUCUGCGUCUACUGAUGCUUUUGAAAAAAGCCUUUGGUUUGGCUUGUUUAAUUGAUUCGUACGUAAUCCGAGAGCUUCAUACGUGGGAUUUAUUUGGCAAAGGAAAGUCAAGAGAAAAGGUGGUAGCUAUUCUAGCAAGUCUUCUGUGGAGGA